GAGAAACUUAGAUUUGUUUUAAAUGAUCAAAUAUUUGAGAGUUUAUUAAAAAUUGAUAAAUAAAUAAAGAAAAUCAAUUUAAGGGUAACUACCAGAAACUUAACAAUGGUCAUAUAAGGAAGAGAAAUUAAGGAGAAAAAGAAGAGAGGAGAGGAGAGGAGAGAAGAGGAGGAAAGCCUUUUAAAACAAUAUAUAACAAGUUGACUACAGGAGAAAUUAAUUAUUUGACAAGUUGUUGCAUAUUUUGUACAAAUUUAUCAAGGUAACUACUCAUCGACCCUUUAUUUUCCAGCAUCUCCCUCCACUUUCUGUGAUUCUCCUUCAGAAUUGAACCCACUGCACUGCCUUUAUUCAUCACAGAGUGGAUGGCUUUGCUUAGACUCUCCUUAGAAAACCACCCACUUUCAUCUCUCUCACCUCCACCGCCACCUUUAACUCUUGGGCCAUGAACCUGGUGUUCAAGAUUUGGUCACCCAAAUGUGGCACCAAUACUAGUUGACAAUCACUCAUCAAAGACUCCCACAUUGACCCAAAUCCACAAUGGUUCACAAAACACCCUACUGAUGGGUGAUCUGGGAUCAUUAAUUGUUGUACCCAUUCACCCCGAACCACUCCUCUUCCUUUAACCCUCUCUUCGAACCCUUCCGGCAGUGCUUCUUCCACUGUUGAGGCACCCUUUUGGCGGUUUUAAGGCCACUAAAAAUGGCAAACCUGUUAAUUCGAACCCUAAAACCAGUUCUUGAAACUGAUUCUUUUCCAGUAUGAUUUGGCUUCCAAAUGCACAAAACACCACUGAACCUCGUUCAAACCCACUUAGCCAUUUACACCACCGGUCUUCUAACGGUCUCUUAGAUGGCUCCGGCAAGACAUGUCUGGUUAGAAACACCGACUUUCCAUAUUGACUCCCAAUGUAAUCACACAACUGCCCUUCAGUUUCAUGGCAAGUUCUGAUAGCUAGUGCGUCACUUGUUUUCAUUGCUUUGGGGAUUCUUUCAUAAAAAGUUAUUCCUUCGCCGAAAGGCUGCGAUACAAAUAACAACGAUAGUUGAGGAUGGAUAGCCAGAGGGUGGCACUAACAGUUCAGCCUCGGUGAUGGCCCUAUCUUUAGGCACAUUUCGUGCCGGGACUAGUACAAUUGCAAUGGAGGCAGCCGAAACUGCUGAAUAGUUUAUGGCCUCAAUCCCAAGGAGUUUCGUUAUCUCCGGCACCCAGUGGGCUACAUUAACCAACUUAGGUCUGAUAUCAUAUAUUACCGUUUCGACUUGGUCACCGGUGCAAUCCAGGGCUGUAGCAAGCAAAUGGUUUAAUUGAAUGGGCAUGUCGGAGGCGGUUUGGGUGCCAGUAGGGAGGCCAUCGACGUGAGGGACGGUGAGAGGUUGGAAGGUGAUGAGAUGAAGAUGAAGAUUGAAGUGUUGUAAUUGUUGUAUAGCUUUGGCGGGCAGCAAGAAGGUGAUGGAGCAAUCUCUCUCUGCAAGCCUGUUAGAGAGGUGGGGGAACAGGGUCAUGUGACCAACAGCAAACCAUGGGAACAUCACUAGGUGAAAAUCUGAGCUCUUGGGUAGACUCUUUUUUUUUUUUUUUUUUUU
rnacentral:misc_RNA from 1 species